rnacentral:ncRNA from 1 species
UAUAUUGGCAAAUCAAAAGAAAUUUUGUGACGCAAAGCUAUAGGGCCUAAGAAUAGAUAUUUAUGGCAGCCAGUUGC